rnacentral:rRNA from 1 species
GAUGAACGCUGGCGGCGUGCCUAAUACAUGCAAGUCGAGCGAACGGACGAGAAGCUUGCUUUUCUGAUGUUAGCGGCGGACGGGUGAGUAACACGUGGAUAACCUACCUAUAAGACUGGGAUAACUUCGGGAAACCGGGUCUAAUACCGGAUAAUAUUUUAAACCGCAUGGUUCAUAAGUGAAAGACGGUCUUGCUGUCACUUAUAGAUGGAUCCGCGCUGCAUUAGCUAGUUGGUAAGGUAACGGCUUACCAAGGCAACGAUGCAUAGCCGACCUGAGAGGGUGAUCGGCCACACUGGAACUGAGACACGGUCAAGACUCCUACGGGAGGCAGCAGUAGGGAAUCUUCCGCAAUGGGCGAAAGCCUGACGGAGCAACGCCGCGUGAGUGAUGAAGGUCUUCGGAUCGUAAAACUCUGUUAUUAGGGAAGAACAUAUGUGUAAGUAACUGUGCACAUCUUGACGGUACCUAAUCAGAAAGCCACGGCUAACUACGUG